rnacentral:misc_RNA from 1 species
AAGUCGUAACAAGGUUUCCGUAGGUGAACCUGCGGAAGGAUCAUUAUCGAGUUUUGAAACGGGUUGUAGCUGUCCUUCGCAAGGAGGUACGUGCACGCCUUGCUCAUCCACUCUCAAACCCCUGUGCACUUUUUGUAGGCUUGGUCGGAUAGGCUGACUUCGGUCGGCUUUGAAAGCCUCGCCUAUGUAUUAAAACAAACGCUUCAGUUCAGAAUGUAACCUUGCAUAAUAAGCAAAAUAAAUAUAACUUUCAGCAACGGAUCUCUUGGCUCUC